rnacentral:lncRNA from 1 species
GAGACAUCAGCCUUCUCGCUCCGCGGCCCUGCAGGACCUGCCCGCCGGGAGCCCCGGAGUCCGCGGCAGCGCCGAGGGCCCCUCCCCCAGGCCUCUGGGCUCUGAGGCUCAUCCAUGGAAUACCAAUUCUUUUUCUUAGUGUUCACAUUGGAUUUUUCUGUUAAAAAUAGAUUGUUGGAGUUGGCUAACAAGUUGAUUACUUCCAGUCAGGCACUCUCUUCUGUAAAGUCUCUUUUGUAAACUCCUACAAGCAGCUAUUUCACUGGAUUUGAAAAGACUGACUAAAAAGAACCAUGCACUGUAACUCUCAAGUAUACAGGAAUAUUGUUAUUAGCAGAGAAUGAAUGUACUCAAGAUUACCAGUUUUGCAGAUGAAUAAACCAAUGAUUCCAGAGGUUAUGGUGCAUAUCUAGAGUCACAUGACUAAGAAAUGAUAAAACCAGGAUUUCAGCCAGGUUAUCUGUUUCAAGACAUUUUCAGACAAAAAAA